CGGUGAAGAUGGCUCGCGGCCUAUCAGUUGUGGUGAGGUAGUGGCUCACCAAGCGAUGACGGGUAGCCGGCCUGAGAGGGCGACCGGCCACACUGGACUGAGACACGGCCCAGACUCUACGGGAGGCAGCAGUGGGGAAUAUUGCACAAUGGGCGAAAGCCUGAUGCAGCGACGCCGCGUGAGGGAUGACGGCCUUCGGGUUGUAAACCUCUUUCAGCAGGGAAGAAGCGAAAGUGACGGUACCUGCAGAAGAAGCGCCGGCUAAUACGUGCCAGCAGCCGCGGUAAUACGUAGGGCGCAAGCGUUGUCCGGAAUUAUUGGGCGUAAAGAGCUGUAGGUGGCUUGUCGCGUCUGCCGUGAAAACCCGAGGCUCAACCUCGGGCGUGCGGUGGGUACGGGCAGGUCUAGAGUGUGGUSGGGKSNAUUGGSSUUCCUGGUGUUSKYGGUNSSSUGCGYAGAUAUCAGGAAGAACACCGAUGGCGAAGGCAGGUUUCUGGGUUAUUACUGACACUGAGAAGCGAAAGCAUGGGGAGUGAACAGGAUUAGAUACCCUGGUAGUCCAUGCCGUAAACGUUGGGYACUAGAUGUGGGGSSCAUUCAC
rnacentral:rRNA from 1 species